UCUAAACACACGAACCAUCUCUGAGCUCUCUAACCCACGAACCAUCCCUUAGCUCAGCAAUCCAUGAAACCCAACCCUCCCUUCCUAACCCUUAUGAACCCAGACCACCAAUGGCUCUGACCGCAUGAACCCAACCCUCCCUUCCUAACCCUUAUGAACCCAGACCACCAUCGGCUCUGACCGCAUGAACCCAACCCUCCCUUCCUAACCCUUAUGAACCCAGACCACCCAUCGGCUCUGCAACCGGCUCCUUGCAUCGUGAACCCAGACGGAGUAAGUUCAUCGAUGGCUCCAGGUCAGCUCCAAGGCGGUAGCAGCGGCGGCGACGGCAAUUUCAAAUGGGCAGCAAUUUCUAAUGCAGAAGCAAAAGCCAGUGCCUAUCAAAAUGCUGAAGAUGAAAUUUGAGGAGAAGUAAUUUUCUUACUUGAGGUUAAGGAAAAAGAAAGAGCACUAUGGGAAAAAGAAAGAGCAGAGAAGUGAAUUGAAGUGAAGUGAAUUGAAUGUGGUGUUUAGGUAUACAUAAUAUUCUUGGAAUUGAAGUGAAUUGAAGCUUUGAUUUUGUUGUAUUAUUAUUGUUAACUUCAGAAAUUAUAAGCAAGUUUUUCCCUUCUCA